rnacentral:rRNA from 1 species
CCAGACUCCUACGGGAGGCAGCAGUCGAGAAUCAUUCACAAUGGGGGAAACCCUGAUGGUGCGACGCCGCGUGGGGGAAUGAAGGUCUUCGGAUUGUAAACCCCUGUCAUGUGGGAGCAAAUUAAAAAGAUAGUACCACAAGAGGAAGAGACGGCUAACUCUGUGCCAGCAGCCGCGGUAAUACAGAGGUCUCAAGCGUUGUUCGGAAUCACUGGGCGUAAAGCGUGCGUAGGCUGUUUCGUAAGUCGUGUGUGAAAGGCGCGGGCUCAACCCGCGGUCGGCACCUGAUACUGCGAGACUAGAGUAGUGGAGGGGGAACCGGAGUUCUCGGUUUAGCAGUGAAAUGCGUAUAUAUCGAGACGAGCACUCGUGGCGCUCGCGGGUUCCUGGUCUUUCGCUGACGCUGAGGCACGGCGGCCAGGGGAGCGAAGGGGCUUAGAUACCCCGGUAAU